GACGAACGCUGGCGGCGUGCUUAACACAUGCAAGUCGAACGGAAAGGCCCUGCUUUUGUGGGGUGCUCGAGUGGCGAACGGGUGAGUAACAUGUGAGUAACCUGCCCUUGACUUUGGGAUAACUUCAGGAAACUGGGGCUAAUACCGGAUAGGAGCUCCUGCUGCAUGGUGGGGGUUGGAAAGUUUCGGCGGUUGGGGAUGGACUCGCGGCUUAUCAGCUUGUUGGUGGGGUAGUGGCUUACCAAGGCUUUGACGGGUAGCCGGCCUGAGAGGGUGACCGGCCACAUUGGGACUGAGAUACGGCCCAGACGCCUACGGGAGGCAGCAGUGGGGAAUAUUGCACAAUGGGCGGAAGCCUGAGGCAGCAACGCCGCGUGCGGGAUGACGGCCUUCGGGUUGUAAACCGCUUUCGCCUGUGACGAAGCGUGAGUGACGGUAAUGGGUAAAGAAGCACCGGCUAACUACGUG
rnacentral:rRNA from 1 species